rnacentral:rRNA from 1 species
GACGAACGCUGGCGGCGUGCUUAACACAUGCAAGUCGAACGGUGAAGCGCCUUCCUUUUUGGUGGGUGUGGAUGAGUGGCGAACGGGUGAGUAACACGUGAGUAACCUGCCCCCUUCUUCUGGAUAACCGCAUGAAAGUGUGGCUAAUACGGGAUAUUCUGGGUCUGUCGCAUGAUGGGUCUGGGAAAGAUAUUGUUUCGGUGGGGGAUGGGCUCGCGGCCUAUCAGCUUGUUGGUGGGGUGAUGGCCUACCAAGGCGGUGACGGGUAGCCGGCCUGAGAGGGUGGACGGUCACACUGGGACUGAGACACGGCCCAGACUCCUACGGGAGGCAGCUGUGGGGAAUAUUGCACAAUGGGCGCAAGCCUGAUGCAGCGACGCCGCGUGAGGGAUGGAGGCCUUCGGGUUGUGAACCUCUUUCGCCAGUGAAGCAGGCCUGCCUCGUUUGUGGGUGGGUUGACGGUAGCUGGAUAAGAAGCGCCGGCUAACUACGUG